ACGGCUACCUUGUUACGACUUCACCCCAAUUAUCGAACCCACCUUCGGCCGCGCCCCCCUUGCGGUUAGGCUACGGACUUCGGGUGUUCCCGACUCUCAUGGUGUGACGGGCGGUGUGUACAAGGCCCGGGAACGUAUUCACCGCGGCAUGCUGAUCCGCGAUUACUAGCGAUUCCAACUUCACGCAGGCGGGUUGCAGCCUGCGAUCCGAACUGGGACGGCUUUUUGAGAUUUGCUCCACCUCGCGGUCUUGCCUCUCUUUGUUGACCGCCAUUGUAGUACGUGUGUGGCCCAGGACGUAAGGGGCAUGAUGAUUUGACGUCGUCCCCACCUUCCUCCGUUUUGUCAACGGCAGUCUCGCUAGAGUGCUCUUGCGUAGCAACUAACAAUAAGGGUUGCGCUCGUUGCGGGACUUAACCCAACAUCUCACGACACGAGCUGACGACAACCAUGCACCACCUGUCUCUGCUUUCCCCGAAGGGCACCUAAUCCAUCUCUGGUUCGUUAGCAGGAUGUCAAGCCCUGGUAAGGUUCUUCGCGUUGCUUCGAAUUAAACCACAUACUCCACCGCUUGUGCGGGCCCCCGUCAAUUCCUUUGAGUUUCAACCUUGCGAUCGUAC
rnacentral:rRNA from 1 species